rnacentral:rRNA from 1 species
UAGGGAAUCUUCCGCAAUGGGCGAAAGCCUGACGGAGCAACGCCGCGUGAGUGAUGAAGGUCUUCGGAUCGUAAAACUCUGUUAUUUGGGAAGAACAAAUGUGUAAGUAACUAUGCACGUCUUGACGGUACCUAAUCAGAAAGCCACGGCUAACUACGUGCCAGCAGCCGCGGUAAUACGUAGGUGGCAAGCGUUAUCCGGAAUUAUUGGGCGUAAAGCGCGCGUAGGCGGUUUUUUAAGUCUGAUGUGAAAGCCCACGGCUCAACCGUGGAGGGUCAUUGGAAACUGGAAAACUUGAGUGCAGAAGAGGAAAGUGGAAUUCCAUGUGUAGCGGUGAAAUGAGCAGAGAUAUGGAGGAACACCAGUGGCGAAGGCGACUUUCUGGUCUGUAACUGACGCUGAUGUGCGAAAGCGUGGGGAUCAAACAGG